UACGAAGGGUGCAAGCGUUACUCGGAAUUACUGGGCGUAAAGCGUGCGUAGGCGGUUUGUUAAGUCUGUCGUGAAAGCCCCGGGCUCAACCUGGGAAUGGCGAUGGAUACUGGCGAGCUAGAGUACGGUAGAGGAGAGUGGAAUUCCCGGUGUAGCAGUGAAAUGCGUAGAGAUCGGGAGGAACAUCAGUUGCGAAGGCGGCCUUCUGGACGGUGACUGACGCUGAGACGCGAAAGCGUGGGGAGCAAACAGG
rnacentral:rRNA from 1 species